UGGGGAAUUUUGGACAAUGGGGGAAACCCUGAUCCAGCCAUCCCGCGUGUGCGAUGAAGGCCUUCGGGUUGUAAAGCACUUUUGGCAGGAAAGAAACGUCAUGGGUUAAUACCCCGUGAAACUGACGGUACCUGCAGAAUAAGCACCGGCUAACUACGUGCCAGCAGCCGCGGUAAUACGUAGGGUGCAAGCGUUAAUCGGAAUUACUGGGCGUAAAGCGUGCGCAGGCGGUUCGGAAAGAAAGAUGUGAAAUCCCAGAGCUCAACUUUGGAACUGCAUUUUUAACUACCGGGCUAGAGUGUGUCAGAGGGAGGUGGAAUUCCGCGUGUAGCAGUGAAAUGCGUAGAUAUGCGGAGGAACACCGAUGGAGAAGGCAGCAUCCUGGGAUAACACUGACGCUCAUGAACGAAAGCGUGGGGAGCAAACAGG
rnacentral:rRNA from 1 species